UCUAGAACUCGAGAUAUGGGCUGAACACUAAACAGUAUCUGGGCUGUAGGAUAGAUUCGGACUUCUCCGUUGUUGCUACAAUUUGAACUUGAAAAUGGCCUUUUUGAAUCUUGAAAUCCUCAUGAAAGUUUUAGGCCUAUGUCUUAGCUUUCCAUC
rfam:Populus trichocarpa isolate Nisqually-1 chromosome 10, whole genome shotgun sequence.